CGCCGCGGUAGAGGAGCGUUCUGUACUGGCUGAAGCCAUACCGUAAGGAGUGGUGGACGGUACAGAAGUGAGAAUGUUGGCAUAAGUAGCGAGAUGCGGGUGAGAAUCCCGCAGGUCGAAAAUCUAAGGUUUCCUGAGGAAGGUUCGUCCGCUCAGGGUUAGUCGGGUCCUAAGCCCAGGCCGAGAGGCGUAGGUGAUGGACAAUCGGUUGAUAUUCCGAUACCACUACGAAGCGUUUGACCGAAGGGGUGACGCAGGAGGAUAAGAUGUGCGUACGAUUGGAUUGUACGUCUAAGCAUCAAGGAAGGACAGGGAGGCAAAUCCCCCGGUCCGUUAAUUCUGAGGUGUGAUGGGGAGGAGCCUACGGGCUUCGAGUAUCUGAUUUCACGCUGCCAAGAAAAGCCUCUAGGGAGCUCGCGUAGUGCCCGUACCGCAAACCGACACAGGUAGAUGAGGAGAGAAUCCUAAGACCAUCGGAAGAAUUGUUGUUAAGGAACUCGGCAAAUUAACCCCGUAACUUCGGGAGAAGGGGUGCCCGGCGCAAGCCGGGCCGCAGUGAAAUGGCCCAAGCAACUGUUUAGCAAAAACACAGGUCUCUGCUAAAGCGAAAGCUGAUGUAUAGGGGCUGACGCCUGCCCGGUGCUGGAAGGUUAAGGGGAUCACUUAGCGCAAGCGAAGGUGUGAACUUAAGCCCCAGUAAACGGCGGCCGUAACUAUAACGGUCCUAAGGUAGCGAAAUUCCUUGUCAGGUAAGUUCUGACCCGCACGAAUGGCGUAAUGACUUGGGCACUGUCUCAACAACAAAUCCGGCGAAAUUGUAGUGCAAGUGAAGAUGCUUGCUACCCGCGAUUGGACGGAAAGACCCCGUAGAGCUUUACUGUAGCUUAGCAUUGAGUUUCGAUAUUGUCUGUACAGGAUAGGUGGGAGACUGGGAAAGCGGAUCGUCAGGUCUGCUGGAGUCACCCUUGGGAUACCACCCUGGCAGUAUUGAGAUUCUAACCGGCGGCCCUGAUCGGGUCACGGGACAUUGUUAGGUGGGCAGUUUGACUGGGGCGGUCGCCUCCUAAAAAGUAACGGAGGCGCCCAAAGGUUCCCUCAGAACGGUCGGAAAUCGUUCGUAGAGUGCAAAGGCAGAAGGGAGCCUGACUGCGACACAUACAGGUGGAGCAGGGACGAAAGUCGGGCUUAGUGAUCCGGUGGUACCUCGUGGGAGGGCCAUCGCUCAACGGAUAAAAGCUACCUCGGGGAUAACAGGCUUAUCUCCCCCAAGAGUCCACAUCGACGGGGAGGUUUGGCACCUCGAUGUCGGCUCGUCGCAUCCUGGGGCUGAAGUAGGUCCCAAGGGUUGGGCUGUUCGCCCAUUAAAGCGGCACGCGAGCUGGGUUCAGAACGUCGUGAGACAGUUCGGUCCCUAUCCGUCGCGGGCGUAGGAAAUUUGAAGGGAGCUGUCCUUAGUACGAGAGGACCGGGAUGGACCAACCUCUGGUGUACCAGUUGUUCUGCCAAGAGCAUGGCUGGGUAGCUAAGUUGGGACGGGAUAAACGCUGAAAGCAUCUAAGCGUGAAGCCCACCCUAAGAUAAGAUUUCCCAUGGCGCAGGCCAGUAAGAUCCCUUGAAGAACACAAGGUAGAUAGGUGAGAGGUGUACGUGCAGCAAUGCAUUCAGCUUACUCAUACUAAUCGAUCGAGGGCUUAAUCAA
rnacentral:rRNA from 1 species